rnacentral:rRNA from 1 species
GAUGAACGCUGGCGGCGUGCCUAAUACAUGCAAGUCGAGCGAACAGACGAGGAGCUUGCUCCUCUGACGUUAGCGGCGGACGGGUGAGUAACACGUGGAUAACCUACCUAUAAGACUGGGAUAACUUCGGGAAACCGGAGCUAAUACAGGAUAAUAUAUUGAACCGCAUGGUUCUAUAGUGAAAGACGGUUUUGCUGUCACUUAUAGAUGGAUCCGCGCCGCAUUAGCUAGUUGGUAAGGUAACGGCUUACCAAGGCAACGAUGCGUAGCCGACCUGAGAGGGUGAUCGGCCACACUGGAACUGAGACACGGUCCAGACUCCUACGGGAGGCAGCAGUAGGGAAUCUUCCGCAAUGGGCGAAAGCCUGACGGAGCAACGCCGCGUGAGUGAUGAAGGUCUUCGGAUCGUAAAACUCUGUUAUUAGGGAAGAACAAAUGUGAAAGUAACUAUGCACGUCUUGACGGUACCUAAUCAGAAAGCCACGGCUAACUACGUG